rnacentral:rRNA from 1 species
GGGUUGUGAGGUUAAGCGACUAAGCGUACACGGUGGAUGCCCUGGCAGUCAGAGGCGAUGAAGGACGUGCUAAUCUGCGAUAAGCGUCGGUAAGGUGAUAUGAACCGUUAUAACCGGCGAUUUCCGAAUGGGGAAACCCAGUGUGUUUCGACACACUAUCAUUAACUGAAUCCAUAGGUUAAUGAGGCGAACCGGGGGAACUGAAACAUCUAAGUACCCCGAGGAAAAGAAAUCAACCGAGAUUCCCCCAGUAGCGGCGAGCGAACGGGGAGGAGCCCAGAGUCUGAAUCAGUGUGUGUGUUAGUGGAAGCGUCUGGAAAGGCGCGCGAUACAGGGUGACAGCCCCGUACACAAAAAUGCACAUAUUGUGAGCUCGAUGAGUAGGGCGGGACACGUG